GACCUACGGGGCGCAGCAGUGGGGAAUAUUGCACAAUGGGGGGAACCCUGAUGCAGCGACGCCGCGUGAGUGAAGAAGUAUUUCGGUAUGUAAAGCUCUAUCCGCAGGGAAGAUAAUGACGGUACCUGACUAAGAAGCCCCGGCUAACUACGUGCCAGCAGCAGCGGUAAUACGUAGGGGGCAAGCGUCAUCCGGAUUUACUGGGUGUAAAGGGUGCGUAGGUGGCAGGGCAAGUCAGAUGUGAAAGCCCGGGGCCCGACCCCGGUACUGCAUUUGAAACUGUCCGG
rnacentral:rRNA from 1 species